AAAUACUAAAAUGUAAACCUAAUCCAGGUCCAGCAGCUUCACCUCACUCGUUCACGCCUCUCACUCUUCUGAGGUCUCUAUAUCGAUGGUGUCUCUCUCUCUUCUCUUUCCCAUCUCAGACUGAGUUCUCUCUCUCACACUCUCAUCCAUCUCAGAUCAGAUCGGUGUGCUGCUGCUCGUCUCUCUCUGUCGAUCAUCCAUCGCAGAUUAGAUCGAUUGUUUCAUGUCAUCUACAGUGGAUUCGGUAAAUGUAAGUAGGAGGUUUUUUUUUUUCUGUUUUUAUUUUUAUUAUUUUUAUGUUUUCAUUAUGUUUUUAUUUAGAUCGAUUGUUUAUGUUUUAUGUUUUCAUUAUGUCACACUCUGAAAUGUGAUUGUUCAUGUUAUCUGGUUUUGUUCUGUUUUAUCUCAGACUGAGUUUUCUGUGUUUUUUUUUUGAUCCAUUUGAACCCAUGAUUUAUAGCUUGGAUUAUUAACCUGUUUAUGAGUUUCUUUAUCAACAGUCUUUCUUGAUGGUGCAACAAUUGUGCCAUCUAUAUAGCCAAAUAGGUCAUUGCAAAUCAGGAUCAAUGUAAAUUGGUCUCUCCAUAACAGAAUAUUUUUUAAUCAAAUUUUAACAGAUACAUGGUUGAUAAUAUUGUGGAGAUGAACAGUUAAAGAAGAAAGUGGAAAGAGCUGAUGGCCAAUGGCCAUAUUAGUAAGAGAGAAAGAGGGAGACAAAGUAUAUGAGAGAGAGAUGUCUCUGGCUCCAAUACCAUAAAAUACUGGAGGACCCAAACAGGGUUGAGAAUGUAUAUUCAUAUAUGGGAAGGAUUUGACAAAACCCUCAUUUGAAUAUUUACAAUAAUACCCACAAAUGUGUACAACAUUUAUAACAUUACAUCCUAACACAGUUUUCUCUGGAUGUGCAUCUCUUACUAAUAAAAUAUAAGAAUGCUUUUAAUUAAAA